rnacentral:misc_RNA from 1 species
AAAGUCGUAACAAGGUUUCCGUAGGUGAACCUGCGGAAGGAUCAUUAUUGAAUGAACUUGGCGUGGUUGUUGCUGGCCCUCUCGGGGGCAUGUGCACACCCGCCAUCUCCAUCUCUCCACCUGUGCACCUCUUGUAGACUGGAAUAGACUUUCCGAGGCAACUCGGUCGGGAGGAAUGCUGUCGCUUUGCGUCGGCUUUCUUUGCACUUCCAAGCCUAUGUUUUUCAUAUACCCGUAGUAUGUAACAGAAUGUAUCAUUUGGGCCUCAGUGCCUAUAAACCAUAUACAACUUUCAGCAACGGAUCUCUUGGCUCUC